rnacentral:rRNA from 1 species
UACGAAGGGGGCUAGCGUUGCUCGGAAUCACUGGGCGUAAAGGGUGCGUAGGCGGGUCUUUAAGUCAGGGGUGAAAUCCUGGAGCUCAACUCCAGAACUGCCUUUGAUACUGAAGAUCUUGAGUUCGGGAGAGGUGAGUGGAACUGCGAGUGUAGAGGUGAAAUUCGUAGAUAUUCGCAAGAACACCAGUGGCGAAGGCGGCUCACUGGCCCGAUACUGACGCUGAGGCACGAAGGCGUGGGGGGCAAACAGG